AGCACGACAGAUAUAUAUCAGCCUUUAUAAGAAGAGGAUAUAGGCAGAUGAAGUCAACUUAUAUUAUUGAGGGUGUACUUUCACCGGAUGCUUUAUUGCCGAUAACAAUAAAAAUAACGAGCUCGGGAUUGAUUAGCGUCACCAUAACUGGCCAGUCGUCACCAUUUAUUGAUUUAAAACAAGAUAAUUUAUUGCCAAUGAAAUACAUUAGCUUCAGUUCUUGGAACAAUGUGACAGCUAAAUGGUACUAUGAUUGUGACAGUCACACAGACGAAAUUCGCAGCUGGCAAAUCAAGCUCAAUUCAACAGAAAAUAUGUUAACGUCGAGCCGAAACAAAACUGACGAGCUAAUGAAAGAGCUCAGUGAGAUGAAGUCAACCUACGAAGCACGUUUAGCUGAACAAAUUAACAAAACCAUUCAAAGCGACGAGGAAAUUAGUAGCUGGCGAAGCAAGCUCCGUUCGACAGAAAAUGAAUUAACGUCGAGCCGAAACAAAACUGACGAGCUAAUGAAAGAGCUCAGUGUGGUGAAGUCAACCUAUGAAGCACUUUUGGCUGAACAAGUUAACAAAACCAUUCAAAUGGACGAGGAAAUUCGCAGCUGGCAAAUCAAGCUCAAUUCAACAGAAAAUGAAUUAACGUCGAGCCGAAACAAAACUGACGAGCUAAUGAAAGAGCUCAGUGAGAUGAAGUCAACCUACGAAGCACGUUUGGCUGAACAAAUUAACAAAACCAUUCAAAGCGACGAGGAAAUUAGUAGCUGGCGAAGCAAGCUCCGUUCGACAGAAAAUGAAUUAACGUCGAGCCGAAACAAAACUGACGAGCUAAUGAAAGAGCUCAGUGAGAUGAAGUCAACCUACGAAGCACGUUUGGCUGAACAAAUUAACAAAUUCGCAGCUGGCAAAUCAAGCUCCGUUCGACAGAAAAUGAAUUAACGUCGAGCCGAAACAAAACUGACGAGCUAAUGAAAGAGCUCAGUGAGAUGAAGUCAACCUACGAAGCACGUUUGGCUGAACAAAUUAACAAAACCAUUCAAAGCGACGAGGAAAUUAGUAGCUGGCGAAGCAAGCUCCGUUCGACAGAAAAUGAAUUAACGUCGAGCCGAAACAAAACUGGCGAGUUAAUGAAAGAGCUCAGUGUGGUGAAGUCAACCUAUGAAGCACUUUUGGCUGAACAAGUUAACAAAACCAUUCAAAUGGACGAGGAAAUUCGUAGUUUGCAAAUCAAGCUCCAUUCGACAGAAAAGGAACUACAUGACAAUAGCAACGGUGCAGCGAACACCGAUGACAUUUUAUCACUAAGUGAAGCUUUAAUUAUAUUUUUGUUCCUUCAGUUUGUUGUUAUUUGGAUUGUGUUUAAGAAUAAAAAAUAGAGAGUAUAGACAAGGAAACCUAAAAAGUU